rnacentral:rRNA from 1 species
GGCAGGGGUUGCACGCAGGGGGUCGUGGGACCGCUCGAUCUCAUCUGCCGGUGAGGUACAGAGUAAGAAACCAGUGUGGAAGUCGAAGUCGGUUGGGAAGCCGUACCGUAGAGGGUGAUAGGCCCGUAGACGUAAAGCGCUGGCUCUGGAGCGUGUUCCCAAGUAACACGGAACCCCUGAAAUUCCGUGUGAAUCUGGCGGGACCACCCGUUAAGCCUAAAUACUCCUUGAUGACCGAUAGCGGACAAGUACCGUGAGGGAAAGGUGAAAAGUACCCCGGAAGGGGAGUGAAAGAGAACUUGAAACCGUGUGCUUACAAGUAGUCAGAGCCCGUUUAUGGGUGAUGGCGUGCCUUUUGUAGAAUGAACCGGCGAGUUACGAUCUGAUGCAAGGUUAAGCAGCGAAUGUGGAGCCGUAGCGAAAGCGAGUCUGAAUAGGGCGUUGAGUAUUUGGUCGUAGACCCGAAACCAGGUGAUCUACCCUUGGUCAGGUUGAAGUUCAGGUAACACUGAAUGGAGGACCGAACCGACUUACGUUGAAAAGUGAGCGGAUGAACUGAGGGUAGCGGAGAAAUUCCAAUCGAACUUGGAGAUAGCUGGUUCUCUCCGAAAUAGCUUUAGGGCUAGCCUCAAGUGAUGAUUAUUGGAGGUAGAGCACUGUUUGGACGAGGGGCCCCUCUCGGGUUACCGAAUUCAGACAAACUCCGAAUGCCAAUCAAUUUAACUUGGGAGUCAGAACAUGGGUGAUAAGGUCCGUGUUCGAAAGGGAAACAGCCCAGACCACCAGCUAAGGUCCCAAAAUAUAUGUUAAGUGGAAAAGGAUGUGGCGUUGCCCAGACAACUAGGAUGUUGGCUUAGAAGCAGCCAUCAUUUAAAGAGUGCGUAAUAGCUCACUAGUCGAGUGACACUGCGCCGAAAAUGUACCGGGGCUAAACAUAUUACCGAAGCUGUGGAUUGUCCUUCGGACAAUGGUAGGAGAGCGUUCUAAGGGCGUUGAAGCAUGAUCGCAAGGACAUGUGGAGCGCUUAGAAGUGAGAAUGCCGGUGUGAGUAGCGAAAGACGGGUGAGAAUCCCGUCCACCGAUUGACUAAGGUUUCCAGAGGAAGGCUCGUCCGCUCUGGGUUAGUCGGGUCCUAAGCUGAGGCCGACAGGCGUAGGCGAUGGAUAACAGGUUGAUAUUCCUGUACCACCUAGUAUCGUUUUAAUCGAUGGGGGGACGCAGUAGGAUAGGCGAAGCGUGCUGUUGGAGUGCACGUCCAAGCAGUAAGGCUGAGUGUUAGGCAAAUCCGGCACUCGUUAGGCUGAGCUGUGAUGGGGAGAGGAAAUUGUUUCCUUGAGUCGUUGAUUUCACACUGCCGAGAAAAGCCUCUAGAUAGAUAACAGGUGCCCGUACCGCAAACCGACACAGGUAGUCAAGAUGAGAAUUCUAAGGUGAGCGAGCGAACUCUCGUUAAGGAACUCGGCAAAAUGACCCCGUAACUUCGGGAGAAGGGGUGCUCUUUAGGGUUCACGCCCAGAAGAGCCGCAGUGAAUAGGCCCAAGCGACUGUUUAUCAAAAACACAGGUCUCUGCUAAACCGUAAGGUGAUGUAUAGGGGCUGACGCCUGCCCGGUGCUGGAAGUUUAAGAGGAGUGGUUAGCUUCUGCGAAGCCACGAAUCGAAGCCCCAGUAAACGGCGGCCGUAACUAUAACGGUCCUAAGGUAGCGAAAUUCCUUGUCGGGUAAGUUCCGACCCGCACGAAAGGCGUAACGAUUUGGGCACUGUCUCAACGAGAGACUCGGUGAAAUCAUAGUACCUGUGAAGAUGCAGGUUACCCGCGACAGGACGGAAAGACCCCGUGGAGCUUUACUGUAGCCUGAUAUUGAAAUUCGGCACAGCUUGUACAGGAUAGGUAGGAGCCAUUGAAACGUGAGCGCUAGCUUACGUGGAGGCGUUGGUGGGAUACUACCCUAGCUGUGUUGGCUUUCUAACCCGCACCACUUAUCGUGGUGGGAGACAGUGUCAGGCGGGCAGUUUGACUGGGGCGGUCGCCUCCUAAAAGGUAACGGAGGCGCUCAAAGGUUCCCUCAGCCUGGUUGGCAAUCAGGUGGCGAGUGUAAGUGCACAAGGGAGCUUGACUGUGAGACUGACAGGUCGAGCAGGGACGAAAGUCGGAACUAGUGAUCCGGCGGUGGCUUGUGGAAGCGCCGUCGCUCAACGGAUAAAAGGUACCCCGGGGAUAACAGGCUGAUCUUCCCCAAGAGUCCAUAUCGACGGGAUGGUUUGGCACCUCGAUGUCGGCUCGUCGCAUCCUGGGGCUGGAGUCGGUCCCAAGGGUUGGGCUGUUCGCCCAUUAAAGCGGCACGCGAGCUGGGUUUAGAACGUCGUGAGACAGUUCGGUCCCUAUCCGUCGUGGGCGUAGGAAAUUUGAGAGGAGCUGUCCUUAGUACGAGAGGACCGGGAUGGACAUACCUCUGGUGUACCAGUUGUCGUGCCAACGGCAUAGCUGGGUAGCUAUGUAUGGACGGGAUAAGUGCUGAAAGCAUCUAAGCAUGAAGCCCCCCUCAAGAUGAGAUUUCCCAACUUCGGUUAUAAGAUCCCUCGAAGAUGACGAGGUUAAUAGGUUCGAGGUGGAAGCGUGGUGACACGUGGAGCUGACGAAUACUAAUCGAUCGAAGACUUAA